GGGAGGCGGAGCGGAGGCGUGGGGGCGGAGUCGCCGCGGUCUAGAGGCGGCUGGCUGCGAGCGGCGUCGGAGUCGGUGGUCUUGGUGCCAUGGCCGCCUCGGUGUUCUGCUGCCUGCGGUGUUGCAGGGACGGCGGGACGGGACACAUCCCUCUGAAGGAGAUGCCGGCGGUGCAGCUGGACACGCAGCACAUGGGAACAGAUGUUGUCAUUGUAAAAAAUGGAAGAAGAAUAUGUGGAACGGGAGGCUGUUUAGCCAGUGCCCCUUUACAUCAAAACAAAAGCUACUUUGAAUUCAAAAUCCAGUCCACAGGAAUAUGGGGUAUUGGCGUUGCAACUCAGAAAGUUAACUUGAAUCAGAUUCCUCUUGGCCGAGAUGUGCAUAGUCUGGUGAUGAGGAAUGAUGGAGCCCUAUACCACAACAACGAGGAGAAAAAUAGGCUGCCAGCAAACAGUCUUCCACAGGAGGGAGAUGUGGUGGGUAUUACAUAUGACCAUGUAGAAUUAAAUGUAUAUUUGAAUGGAAAAAAUAUGCAUUGUCCAGCAUCAGGUAUACGAGGGACAGUGUAUCCAGUUGUUUAUGAAAAAUUCAGACAUGUAUAGAAGUAAAGAGAAUGGUAUAAUGAACCCUCAUGUACACAUCACCCAGCUUCAAACAGUUGAUGACAGUGCAAUUUUGGAUUGCCAGUUCAGUGAAUUUUAUCAUACUCCUCCACCUGGUUUUGAAAAAAUAUUAUUUGAACAGCAGAUCUUCUGAAUGUAUUUGUUUUUGAAACUUGUGUUUCUGCACUUUUAAAAGUGUUUACCAUUUAAUAAAGCUUUACCUGACCUGUAGAUGAAAAUAUAUUCUUAAAAAUAUGCUUGUUAAUGUUGUUCAAGGAACCAGUGUAUUCAAGAUACCAUCUGGAAGUUGUGAUUUGAAAUACUUCUGUUUUGUGAGAUGAAAUCAGCAUUUGGGGCAGUUUAUUUAAUUCUUAUUUAAAUAAAUAUAACUAUGGGUUUGAUUAACAGUAUUAAGUGGAAAUAUGUAUAUAGAUAUUUAAAAGGGAAUCUUUCUUACAUAAAAUAUUUGUUUUUAUAAUAGAGAUGUAGAGUUGGGUGGGUUUUUCUCAUUCUGAAAUUUAGACCUCAUUAACUAUUUUAAGUCUACAGUCUAAUUUGUGUCUGAGUGUUCUUUUUUAUAUAGAGUAUAACAAAGGGAUAGAAAAUAUAUUAUUGGCAACUUCUUUUUUGGUGAUUUAUUUACAGUAAAGUGUACCACUUUUCAUAAACUUUAAAUUGCUUACUUUGUAUGUCAUUGCUUUUAAUUUGUUUUGUGAAAGGAGGUGAAUGUUUUGGUAACUGUCAGAGCAAUUUUUUUGAAGACCAUCAUGCUGUGUUAGUUCAAUACCAGAGUAAGUAGUGGUUGAUUGGCAAUGUAGUAUACACUGGCAGACAUUUAGAAUAGUAUGAUGCUUUAAACUUAAUUGUAAAUUAGAUUAUUCUUUUAAGAACUUUUAUUUAAAUGUAUGUUUUUCUGUAACAAAUAAUAAAAUAAUAGUAACUAAUUAGUACUAUAUUAAAUACAUGUUCUUCCUAUUUUGUUAAUUAUACAUUAAAUUUACUUCAUCCUUGAUUAUUUCAGAAGUUCAGAGAAAGUGAGUCCUCUCCAUGACCCUGAGCCUCUGCCAAGUCUUCAGUAAAGAUUUCUUCAAUACCCUACUGACCUGAACUAAGCACUGUACACACUCUGGUAGAGUCUCCUUUGCUAGUGAGCCAAGGACAUAUAUGUUUCACUCCUUUGUGAACAGGAGAAGUAUGUUAUACUAGAAAGCCAUGGGCAUUAGAAUCAGAAAUCUGAAUUGUUAUUUUGCCCUCUAAUUCGGUUACCUCCUCAGCUAAGUUCUUUAGCAUCCCUGAGUUUAAGUUCACCAUUUAUAAAAGGGAUACUCAUAUUCGCUUGAUAAGAUUCUGUAACUAGUUAAAUAAGGUAAUACAUGUAAAAUACCCGAAUCACCAUAGGCACUUAAAGAAUGUAGUUUCCUUGUUGACUCUUAAGCAGUAGUUUUCAUAGGGUCCUCAGACCAGCCUCCUCAAAAACUUUUUAGAAAUGCAUAUUCUUAGGCCCGCCCCAGACCCACUGAAUCAGAAACCGCUGGGGAUAGCACCCAAGAAGCUGUGAACAAGACUUUCAGGUGAUUGUAAUACAUGGUAAAGUUUGAGAACCACUGUUCAGGAGAGAAUGAUUGCCUACUAUAAAUUUUCUAAGGAUUUAAGACUAUUUUUGACCCAUAGGCAAGAGAAUCCUGCAGUGUUUAUUGUUUGUUUGGUAGGUGAAAAUGUGACAAUAUGCUUUGAAAACAUAAAUAUACUUGAGUAAAUUCAUUUACAUAAAACCCAUAUUUACCUCUGAAGAUACAGAAUUGAAUGAUAUUAUUUAUGCAUUUUUGUCUGACUUUCUGAAUCUUAAUUCGUAAAGAACAUGCUUACUUUGGAAAGUGAAUUGAAAUGACUACUGUUUGCUAUCUUUAUAAUGUUAUCUACCUCUUAGUUAUUUUAUUUAAGCCAAAAUUUUUUAAAUUAUCCUGUUCUUUACUCAAGACUAUCUUUUCUGCCUCUAGUCUUAUGGAAUAGGCACAGUACUAAAAUGAUACAUGAGUUGUGCCAUGUCUGUGACAACAGUUUGAUGAAGUAUAGAUGUGUCUUUAAUACGAAGUUACCUAAUCCUCUUGGGAAAAUUACCUUCCUAAACCUAUAACCUCAGUCUAAUCUUAAGGAAGAUAGACAAAUUCCAGUAGAGGGGCAUCCUACAACAUACUUGACUAGUACUCGUCCAAACUGUCAAGGUCAUCAAAAAAAGGGAACGUCAGAAAAACUAUCAUACCCAAGAGGAACUGAGUCCAAGGGGACAUAACAAGUAAAUGUAAUAUGGGAUCCAGGAAGAGAGAAAAGGUAUUAAGUAAAAACCAAGGACGUAUGAAUAGACUGUGGAUUUUAAUAAUAAAGUAUCAAUAUUCAUUUAUUGUAACAAAUGUAUCCUACUAUAAUAUGUUAAUAAUGGGAGAAACUGGGAGAGAGAAUAUGUGGAAAUUCUGUACUACUCAAUUCUUCUGUAAAUCUAAACUAUUCAAAAAAAUAAAGUCUUAAAAAAUUUC